rnacentral:rRNA from 1 species
GACGAACGCUGGCGGCGUGCUUAACACAUGCAAGUCGAACGGAAAGGCCCUGCUUUUGUGGGGUGCUCGAGUGGCGAAAGGGUGAGUAACAAGUGAGUAACCUGCCCUUGACUUUGGGAUAACUUCAGGAAACUGGGGCUAAUACCGGAUAGGAGCUCCUGCUGCAUGGUGGGGGUUGGAAAGUUUCGGCGGGUGGGGAUGGACUCGCGGCUUAUCAGCUUGUUGGUGGGGGAGUGGCUUACCAAGGCUUUGACGGGUAGCCGGCCUGAGAGGGUGACCGGCCACAUUGGGACUGAGAUACGGCCCAGACUCCUACGGGAGGCAGCAGUGGGGAAUAUUGCACAAUGGGCGGAAGCCUGAUGCAGCAACGCCGCGUGCGGGAUGACGGCCUUCGGGUUGUAAACCGCUUUCGCCUGUGACGAAGCGUGAGUGACGGUAAUGGGUAAAGAAGCACCGGCUAACUACGUG